rnacentral:rRNA from 1 species
GGAGGAGGAGGGGGAGGAGUGUUGGUUAGCUUAAUAGCUUUCCAGCCUCUCAUCCCACUCGCCCACUCACAACAUAUGCACAGGGCCGCAAGGCUCUGAUGUUUACGCUUGUUUGUUUGACAGAUUUAUGUGACCAAAUUUUGACAACUUUUAACAAUGGAUCUCUUGGCUCUUGCAACGAUGAAGAACGCAGUAAAGUGCGAUAUGUAGUGCGAUUUGCAUGAAUCUGUGAGUCAUCUAAUCUUUGAACGCAACUUGCGCCUCUCUGAGGCAUGUCUGUUUGAGUGCCGCAUACAUCAAUGCAGCAAUGCGAUUUGACUGUUGUCUCCGGACUCGGUCUAAACGUAGCCAGAUAGUGGCCUAUGGUAGGCUAGCCCGAGUGCUAAGCAUUCUCUGAGCUAGCCUAUCUAGACUACCCAAAUUCUAUCUUUUGGCCUCAAAUCAGGCAAGACUACCCGCUGAACUUAAGCAUAUCAGUAAGCGGAGGAAAAGAAACUAACAAGGAUUCCCCUAGUAACGGCGAGUGAAGCGGGAAAAGCUCAAAUUUAAAAUCUCGGCGUUUUACGUCGCGAAUUGUAGUCUAAAGAGGGCAAUCUAGGGUGGGUUGAAUGCUCAAGUUCCUUGGAAUAGGGCGCCAGAGAGGGUGAGAGCCCCGUAAUAGCAUUUGAAUCUGCCUCAAGUGAGAGCCUCUCAACGAGUCGAGUUGUUUUGGGAAUGCAGCUCAAAGUGGGUGGUAAAUCUCAUCU